rnacentral:rRNA from 1 species
GAUGAACGCUGGCGGCGUGCUUAACACAUGCAAGUCGAGCGGGCAAUUUAUCUAGCACUGAUUACUUCAAAUGGCUAUCGCCAGUGUAAUCAUGAAUUUCUACAUUUAAUAAAGAAAAAAGAAAUUCAUGUACGCAAAUAGUGAUAACACAUUUUAGUGGAGUGAUGAGUGCUGGAUAAAUUGCUAGCGGCGGACGGGUGCGUAACACGUGGGUAACCUGCCCCUAUCACUGGGAUAACACACUGAAAAGUGUGCUAAUACCAGAUAAUAUAAGCUUUUGGCAUCAUUAGCUUAUCAAAGAAUUUCGGAUAGGGAUGGGCCCGCGUCUGAUUAGCUAGUUGGUGAGGUAACGGCUCACCAAGGCAACGAUCAGUAGCCGACCUGAGAGGGUGAUCGGCCACACUGGAACUGAGACACGGUCCAGACUCCUACGGGAGGCAGCAGUGGGGAAUAUUGCACAAUGGGCGAAAG